UACGGAGGAUGCAAGCGUUAUCCGGAAUGAUUGGGCGUAAAGCGUCUGUAGGUGGCUUUUUAAGUCUGCCGUCAAAUCCCAGGGCUUAACCCUGGAAAGGCGGUGGAAACUGAAGCGCUAGAGUGCGGUAGGGGUAGAGGGAAUUCCCGGUGUAGCGGUGAAAUGCGCAGAUAUCGGGAGGAACACCAGUAGCGAAGGCGGCACUCUGGGCCGGAACUGACGCUGAGGAGCGAAAGCGUGGGGAGCGAACAGG
rnacentral:rRNA from 1 species